rnacentral:rRNA from 1 species
GAAUUCAACUCCUACGGGAGGCAGCAGUAGGGAGUAUUGGGCAAUGCUCGCAAGAGUGACCCAGCCAUGCCGCGUGCAGGAAGAAGGCCUUCUGGGUUGUAAACUGCUUUUGGAAGGGAACAAAACGACACUGCGGUGUAACUUGAGUGUACCUUCAGAAUAAGCACCGGCUAACUCCGUGCCAGCAGCCGCGGUAAUACGGAGGGUGCAAGCGUUGUCCGGAUUUAUAGGGUUUAAAGGGUGCGUAGGCGGCCUGUCAAGUCAGAGGUGAAAGACUAUUGCUCAACAAUGGCAGUGCCUUUGAUACUGAUAGGCUUGAGUAUAGAUGAGGCUGGCGGAAUGGGUGGUGUAGCGGUGAAAUGCAUAGAUACCAUCCAGAACACCGAUUGCGAAGGCAGCCGGCUAAACUACAACUGACGCUGAGGCACGAAAGCGUGGGGAUCGAACAGGAUUAGAUACCCGUGUAGUCCAGGCGUU